UUCCAGCUCUUCUGUAUUUUGACUUAACAUUGCCAUAGUUGCUUGUUCACUGACAGCCGAGGGCGUUGACGUUUGACCUUCAAUGUACUCAGCAAUGAUAUUUAUGUUUUGCCAAACAAGAUCCAACUCGUUUUUAAAUUGUAAAUACAAUCUUUCGAACGUGUUCACCAUCGGCAAUUUUUCAUUACUUUCGGCCUCCGGUAAAUCUGCAAGAGAUUCCAAAUUCCUAAGUGGAACAGGCCCUUCUUCUAGAUCAGAACUUUCACUCUCCUCAAAAACAUAUUUUUCAGGAGCAUUAUCGGACGUAGCUAAUUUUAAUUUAGGAGAAGAAAAAGGCUCAAAACGGGAAAUUUUAUUUGCGGCUUCGACUUCAGAGAAACCCUCAGCGCUCAAAAUCUCGUCCUCCAAUGAUUCCUGCGGUUCCUUCUUAUUUUUGUCAGUUGACUGUACAACCAAGGGUUGCUUUGGAAAGAAACUGUUUAAAUCUCUCUUUUCUUUCGGUACCACAUCGAGCAUUUUGUUAACACCAACUUCAUGUAUUUUUGGAGGAGUUGAACGCCUCUUUCCAUUAAGGUCCGAGCUUUCUUCGUCCUGAUCCUCAAUUUCGGAUUCCACGUUCGGCUGUUCUAUCAAUUUCCACCCUUCACUCUCCUCAGAUAUAUUGGAUUCAGCCAUUUCAGUGGGUUCGGGAGUGGGUGACUUUUUACUAUCGAUUCCAAACGCUUUGAAUGAAAAUGGCGAACGAUCUGAAGUAUCGCUUACAUCCUGCUUACUUUCUUUCUCGACUAAAGGUUUAUUAAAGCUAAAGGGAGGAGUUUCAGACGGCUUAUUAAAAGUAAACGUAGGUGCAUCGGCAGAGAAAUUGAACAGCGGGCUUUUUAAUGAAGGUUUUGAAUCAGAGGUUUCGUUGUUUGUCGACUUAUUCAAAGCAGACAUAUUAGCCACAGAGGCUUUUCCCUCGGAUUUUGAAGAUUUAUCAUUCUGUUUAGCAAUCGUAGUGUUGAAACCUUUUGUUUCGUUGCUUUCUUCAGCUUUUUCAUUAUCAUUUUCAGACAGUUUAGUAAUGCCAGUGCUUGGCAAGGCCUUUGACGUUUUUUGUUGAUCUAACCCUUCACCAGCAGAAGGAAUGUUUGCUGCAAACAUAGACUUGUCCGAUGGUGCGAAAGAGAAAGGUUUAGUUAAAACAUUAUUCUCAGGCUU